UUUGGAAACAGAUCAUUGGAAUGCUGAUCAAUUGGCAGUCUAGAGUGGCAAGGUGUUGUUCUAUGGAUUGGAUAGCCAUUUUCUGCCAUGUGCACAACAAUGCAGAAAAACUUCUCUUUGGAACGAGAAAAGAAUUUAAUUCUUCCUGUCACUGGGAAUAUAAUGGUUACCAAAGCAUACCUGGUCGCUUUUGUCAUGGAACUUGUAGUUUGGUAAAACAGGUAUAAUGAUAAGAGUUUAAGAUCUGUGGUGCCAAAAUACA
rnacentral:lncRNA from 10 species